rnacentral:rRNA from 1 species
UACGAAGGGGGCUAGCGUUGUUCGGAAUUACUGGGCGUAAAGCGCACGUAGGCGGAUCGAUCAGUCAGGGGUGAAAUCCCAGGGCUCAACCCUGGAACUGCCUUUGAUACUGUCGAUCUGGAGUAUGGAAGAGGUGAGUGGAAUUCCGAGUGUAGAGGUGAAAUUCGUAGAUAUUAGGAAGAACACCGGUGGCGAAGGCGGCCCACUGGUCCGGUACUGACGCUGAGGUGCGAAAGCGUGGGGAGCAAACAGG